rnacentral:misc_RNA from 1 species
GCUUACUAAUUAACUUUAUAAUUUAUCGUAGUCUAGGAGAUGUCUCUCACUAGAAACUUUUCCAAAAUUAAUUCCAAUCACGCUUAUUAUCGCAAUUCUUAUCCUAAAAGACUAAUUACUAACACAUUAAAAUUUAUCUCCAUGCAAGGGAAUAGCAGUAGAACAUAUAAUUUUAGCAUUAGCAUAUAAACAAGUAGAGCCGGAAUCAAAUAGUACAUAAUUAUUCCUUUCACAAGUUAAGAACAUACCGGCAACUACAUCUGAAGUCUCUGCUUCUUCCCCUCGAUGCAUGGCGUUCCCUCUUUCUAAUGUAUUCCUCUGCUCGGGUUGGUCCAUUGUGCGAGGAUUACCCGAAGUGUUGUCUCUACUUCUGCCUCUGCCCCUACUGACUAUUAAUGAGCCUCUAAAAUUAGAACCUUGGACUGAUUCCUCUGGUGUAGUAUGUGGCAUAAAUCGACAUGCGCUAGUACAAUCUCGGGCGAAAUGUCCAAUUCCACCACAAUUGAAGCAGGCUCCAGUGACCCUAUGGCAAAUACCCCCAUGAAAUUUUCCACAAACGUCACAGAUACGGAUAGGGUAGGAACUUCUGGUUCUUUGACGAAUGGUUCUUGAUUGCUUCCGCCCUGAAGAUCCGCCUCUGUCAUACUUAGGAGCUCGGGGUCCCUCAAAAUCUUUUCUCUUUCCCAAAUUACUACUCGAACUUUGACCGAUGGGUUUCCCACUUUUCUCUUUUUCAUGCUGCUCUUGAGGGGGUUGGGUUUGUACUUGGGCCUGGGCUGACAGAUUAUCAGCCAUUUG